CGGGUUCAUCCAAGGACAGCGGCGUCUCUGCGCCGCGGCUCGUCUAGCUGCCAACGCCGCGGCGAGGCUGACGCUGCCGCGGCCGGGGGUGACUCACGGAGGCCCGCAGCAGCCGCCGGUUAGCGGAUCCACCAGCUAAGCGGUGAGCGGGCACAUUGCGGCCGUCUUCGGCCCUUUCCGUGGGCACCGCGGCCCCCCUCACACAGCCCCCUCCUUGCUACCCCUCUGCUUCUGCAGCGUGGAAUAAACGCCCGGUUUUCCGGCACAUAUUCACCCUUCCGACACCGAAAGGGGGCCCGACUCUUUCCCCCUCCCUCCUUGUCGGCCAGGCAGCCCCGUCGGAGGCAGGGCCGGGGUCCGGCCCUGCGGCCGGCAGCGUUCCCUGCGGCACCCGCCCCCAACUCCCCGUGGUUAUGUAACAGCUCUCAAGAGGAAGCUGCUAACAAGCCCAUCUGAUAUUUUGUGCCAGCUGUUUUAGUGGAGGCGUGCUGAACUAAACUGAGCUCCACCUUCUUUGUUGAGUUCUUUUUCAGGAUAUCCAUUACAACAUGACACAUUCAUUUGGAAAUGGCCAGAAUAUUUAUAGGCUUGGUUCCAGCACAAGAGCAUGGGAUCAAUGUUCUUCCUUUCAGUUGCUCAAAAAGCCAGUUUGAUGCAGUGUUUAGAGGGCUCUGUGUGUCCUCUAACAGGAUUUUGAGGGAUGGACAGACAGCCUACAGUGCAGAUACGAUCUUUUGUGGCUUUUUCUGCUUUGGUGUCAGGAUUGAAGAGCUCUCAUGCUCUUUAGAACCCUUUUAAGACCUUGUCCUCUGGCUUGAAUAAAGGCUAUAGAAUGCUCUAAAUGCA
rnacentral:lncRNA from 14 species